rnacentral:rRNA from 1 species
UUAUUGGGCGUAAGGGCUCGUAGGUGGUUGAUCGCGUCGGAAGUGUAAUCUUGGGGCUUAACCCUGAGCGUGCUUUCGAUACGGGUUGACUCGAGGAAGGUAGGGGAGAAUGGAAUUCCUGGUGGAGCGGUGGAAUGCGCAGAUAUCAGGAGGAACACCAGUGGCGAAGGCGGCUCUCUGGGCCUUUCCUGACGCUGAGGAGCGAAAGCGUGGGGAGCGAACGGGCUUAGAUACCCUGGUAGUCCACGCUGUAAACGGUGGGUACUAGGUGUGGGGUCCAUUCCACGGGUUCCGUGCCGUAGCUAACGCUUUAAGUACCCCGCCUGGGGAGUACGGCCGCAAGGCUAAAACUCAAAGGAAUUGACGGGGCCCCGCACAAGCGGCGGAGCAUGCGGAUUAAUUCGAUGCAACGCGUAGAACCUUACCUGGGUUUGACAUGGAUCGGGAGUGCUCAGAGAUGGGUGUGCCUCUUUUGGGGUCGGUUCACAGGUGGUGCAUGGCUGUCGUCAGCUCGUGUCGUGAGAUGUUGGGUUAAGUCCCGCAACGAGCGCAACCCUUGUUCACUGUUGCCAGCACGUUAUGGUGGGGACUCAGUGGAGACCGCCGGGGUCAACUCGGAGGAAGGUGGGGAUGACGUCAAGUCAUCAUGCCCCUUAUGUCCAGGGCUUCACGCAUGCUACAAUGGCUGGUACAGAGAGUGGCGAGCCUGUGAGGGUGAGCGAAUCUCGGAAAGCCGGUCUCAGUUCGGAUUGGGGUCUGCAACUCGACCUCAUGAAGUCGGAGUCGCUAGUAAUCGCAGAUCANCAACGCUGCGGUGAAUACGUUCC